GAUCCUGGCUCAGAUUGAACGCUGGCGGCAGGCUUAACACAUGCAAGUCGAGCGGGGGAAGGUAGCUUGCUACUGGACCUAGCGGCGGACGGGUGAGUAAUGCUUAGGAAUCUGCCUAUUAGUGGGGGACAACAUUCCGAAAGGAAUGCUAAUACCGCAUACGUCCUACGGGAGAAAGCAGGGGACCUUCGGGCCUUGCGCUAAUAGAUGAGCCUAAGUCGGAUUAGCUAGUUGGUGGGGUAAAGGCCU
rnacentral:rRNA from 1 species